UAAAUUAGCCUCAAAUUACAACUUCUUACCUAAUUAUGAGAAAAAGGUGAAGAAUCAUGAAUAAGAGGCACAUUCCAGUUGACGUCGUCAGCCUCAACCUCACUAGAGUCCCUAGAGUUUCUGGGUGAGUCGUCUCUUGCCCCAACCGCUAAAGUCAAAGCCUCUUAUUCAACAGCUGAAGACUAAACUUUUAGCACCUCCAAUGCCAAAAUUUUCAGAGAAUAUAUUAACCCGAAAAAAUAUUUAUAGCUAAUAUUUGAGAGCACUAAAACCAUUACUUUGGUAUUUUUAACAUAAGAACUUCUCAAACAAAAGUUUCUGAAAGAGUAUCUCCUAAUUAAGAAUAAAGAGAAAAUGAAAAAGUAAAAAAAAACAUGAAAAUAGGUUCUCAUCAAAGAAAUUCCAAGAAACCCAUUAGAACUCCCCUC
rnacentral:lncRNA from 1 species